rnacentral:SRP_RNA from 1 species
GCCGGGCAUGGUGGCUCAUGCCUGUAAUCCCAGCACUUUGGGAGGCUGAGGCGGGUGGAUCACCUGUGGUCAGGAGUCCGAGACCAGCCUGGCCAACAUGGUGAAACCCCAUCUCUA